rnacentral:rRNA from 1 species
AUAUGCAAGUCGAGCGGACAGAAGGGAGCUUGCUCCCGGAUGUUAGCGGCGGACGGGUGAGUAACACGUGGGUAACCUGCCUGUAAGACUGGGAUAACUCCGGGAAACCGGAGCUAAUACCGGAUAGUUCCUUGAACCGCAUGGUUCAAGGAUGAAAGACGGUUUCGGCUGUCACUUACAGAUGGACCCGCGGCGCAUUAGCUAGUUGGUGGGGUAAUGGCUCACCAAGGCGACGAUGCGUAGCCGACCUGAGAGGGUGAUCGGCCACACUGGGACUGAGACACGGCCCAGACUCCUACGGGAGGCAGCAGUAGGGAAUCUUCCGCAAUGGACGAAAGUCUGACGGAGCAACGCCGCGUGAGUGAUGAAGGUUUUCGGAUCGUAAAGCUCUGUUGUUAGGGAAGAACAAGUGCGAGAGUAACUGCUCGCACCUUGACGGUACCUAACCAGAAAGCCACGGCUAACUACGUGCCAGCAGCCGCGGUAAUACGUAGGUGGCAAGCGUUGUCCGGAAUUAUUGGGCGUAAAGGGCUCGCAGGCGGUUUCUUAAGUCUGAUGUGAAAGCCCCCGGCUCAACCGGGGAGGGUCAUUGGAAACUGGGAAACUUGAGUGCAGAAGAGGAGAGUGGAAUUCCACGUGUAGCGGUGAAAUGCGUAGAGAUGUGGAGGAACACCAGUGGCGAAGGCGACUCUCUGGUCUGUAACUGACGCUGAGGAGCGAAAGCGUGGGGAGCGAACAGGAUUAGAUACCCUGGUAGUCCACGCCGUAAACGAUGAGUGCUAAGUGUUAGGGGGUUUCCGCCCCUUAGUGCUGCAGCUAACGCAUUAAGCACUCCGCCUGGGGAGUACGGUCGCAAGACUGAAACUCAAAGGAAUUGACGGGGGCCCGCACAAGCGGUGGAGCAUGUGGUUUAAUUCGAAGCAACGCGAAGAACCUUACCAGGUCUUGACAUCCUCUGACAACCCUAGAGAUAGGGCUUUCCCUUCGGGGACAGAGUGACAGGUGGUGCAUGGUUGUCGUCAGCUCGUGUCGUGAGAUGUUGGGUUAAGUCCCGCAACGAGCGCAACCCUUGAUCUUAGUUGCCAGCAUUUAGUUGGGCACUCUAAGGUGACUGCCGGUGACAACCGGAGGAAGGUGGGGAUGACGUCAAUCAUCAUGCCCUUAUGACUGGGCUA